UAGGGAAUCUUCGGCAAUGGGGGGAACCCUGACCGAGCAACGCCGCGUGAGUGAAGAAGGUUUUCGGAUCGUAAAGCUCUGUUGUUAAGGAAGAACGAGUGUGAGAAUGGAAAGUUCAUACUGUGCCGGUACUUAACCAGAAAGGGACGGCUAACUACGUGCCAGCAGCCGCGGUAAUACGUAGGUCCCGAGCGUUGUCCGGAUUUAUUGGGCGUAAAGCGAGCGCAGGCGGUUAGAUAAGUCUGAAGUUAAAGGCGGUGGCUCAACCAUUGUAGGCUUUGGAAACUGUUUGACUUGAGUGCAGAAGGGGAGAGUGGAAUUCCAUGUGUAGCGGUGAAAUGCGUAGAUAUAUGGAGGAACACCGGUGGCGAAAGCGGCUCUCUGGUCUGUAACUGACGCUGAGGCUCGAAAGCGUGGGGAGCGAACAGG
rnacentral:rRNA from 1 species